GCGGGGGGAGCCGGUUCUUUGUAUUACCUUUAGGGGCAGACUGUACUAAUCGCUUGUUGAGUAAUCCAUUGUCACUACGAUACAGGACGAGGUCGAACUCGAGUCGGCCACAUGGGACCGAAGGUUUUGCUUUUUGAUAGGCCGGAAGUCUUUCCAAGCUCUUAAUUUCUGUUUUAAGAAGAACUACCGCACUAGGCCCUGGCUAUGGCGCAGCUUCAGGCACGCUUCUUCACUGAUGACACGAAUAAUGAAGUACAUAGUGCUGAGGCCUGUCCUCUCAUGACACGUUUUCUCAGAAUAAGGAGUUAGAAGACCAUAAUUUAAGUUGUGACAAAAAAUUCAGCCAAAUUGUUAUGAGCUUCACAAGAGAACCAAAAAAAUCUCCUCUGCUUCAAGAUAUUACAAACAUCUACUAGGAACCUCAAGUCCACUGCUAUAAUUGGUGUUGUAAGAACAAAUCAGCCCAGGCAGAACCAUAGAUCUAAUUAAGAGUCAGGGUGAAUAAAUGCGUCUUCAGUGCCUUUUUAAAAGUUUCCAGAGAUGGAGAGGCUCUUAUCUCAACAGGGAGCGCAUUCCAAAGUCCAGGGGCAACAAUGGAGCAGGCCCAUUCCCGAGUAGCUGCCAGGUGUGUUGGUGGUACCCUCAAAAAAGGCACGAUCACACUUCGCACACCCCCUUGAAGAUCAUGGCCAAUGGCUGCCACCCUGGAGACAUACUGAUGCCUUGUCCACAAUCUGGUAAGGUGAUUGCUAUAGAGCUUGCUGGGAUGCAGCCUUUGCAGACCAGAAAUAGGGAGUGGCUCCCCUGCCCUGAAAAUGGAGGUUGCCAGAUCAUUGUUGGACAAACAUCUGCAAUGCAAUUCAUGGUUUGAAAAAUUAAUUUUAGGUUUGGCAACCUCCAACUUCACAUUGCAUGCAAAUGCAACCACAAAUAUUGUGUAUUUCUUUAUUGUGUAUUGACAAGAGUUCCAAUACAGCAAUCUCCUGGUUUGAAUGGAUGAGUAAGUUUAACAUCAUCUUCCCAAUAAGUGAAUCCUGAAAUGUAAAUGGCAAAUGCACACCCAGUUUGAAAACUUGGGGUAUGCAGCUUGUUUAUGUCCAAGAAAAAGGUUGGCAUCUCCUAUGUUUUUCUAGUGGCAUUGAAACUCCACAGUUGAUACUGUACAACAAAAGCUGCAACUGUUUCAGCUGUAUCUCUGUUCUUAAGAUUAUUAGCAGAUGGAGGAACCCCCCAGUGGUUGGGGAGUUCAGUCCCCAACCAGGUGAAAUAUCAGCCUGCUGGGCUUGGGGCAGGGUGAGAUGAGAAAGGAAGAGAGGUAGCUGGGGCAGGUUGGAAUGGGAGCAUUGAGCACCACACUGUCCCCCCUCCCCCAGCUUGUAUGCAGUGCCCACCACUGCCCAUAAAUAUAUUUUCCUGCUUGCUUCAAGAAUAAAUCUUGUCAGUGUGCAAUCUCUCUUAUUGUUGAUAUUCUGUCUUUUAAAGCCUGCAUGCUCAGCAGCCAUUCAAAACAACAAAAUCUUUCUCUCUACUAACCACACAAUAAUAUUUUGGGUGGGGUGUGUGUGUGUACACACACACACACACACACACACA